UACAUAGCGAGGAAAGAACCCAACAGGGAUUGCCCCAGUAACGGCGAGUGAAGCGGCAACAGCUCAAAUUUGAAAUCUGGCCUUCUGGUCCGAAUUGUAAUUUGCAGAGGAUGCUUCUGGCGCGGUGCCUUCCGAGUUCCCUGGAACGGGACGCCUUAGAGGGUGAGAGCCCCGUACGGUUGGACGCCUAGCCUGUGUGAAGCUCCUUCGACGAGUCGAGUAGUUUGGGAAUGCUGCUCUAAAUGGGAGGUAAAUUUCUUCUAAAGCUAAAUACCGGCCAGAGACCGAUAGCGCACAAGUAGAGUGAUCGAAAGAUGAAAAGCACUUUGAAAAGAGGGUUAAAUAGCACGUGAAAUUGUUGAAAGGGAAGCGCUUAUGACCAGACUUUUUCCAGGCGGAUCAUCCGGUGUUCUCACCGGUGCACUUCGCCUGGUCUAGGCCAGCGUCGAUUUCCGGAGGGGGAUAAAGGCUUCGGGAAUGUGACUCCCCACGGGGAGUGUUAUAGCCCGUUGCGUAAUACCUUUCCGGGGAUCGAGGUACGCGCUCUGCAAGGACGCUGGCAUAAUGGUCAUCAGUGACCCGUCUUGAAACACGGACCAAGGAGUCGAACAUUUGUGCGAGUGUUUGGGUGUUAAACCCUCACGCGUAAUGAAAGUGAACGGAGGUGAGAGCCCUAGGGUGCAUCAUCGACCGAUCCUGAUGUCUUCGGAUGGAUUUGAGUAGGAGCAUAACUGUUCGGACCCGAAAGAUGGUGAACUAUGCGUGGAUAGGGUGAAGCCAGAGGAAACUCUGGUGGAGGCUUCGCAGCGGGUUCUGACGUGCAAAUCGAUCGUCAAAUCUGCGCAUGGGGGGCGAAAGACUAAUCGAACCAUCUAGUAGUGGUACCGCG
rnacentral:rRNA from 1 species